rnacentral:rRNA from 1 species
AGGACGAACGCUGGCGGCGUGCCUAACACAUGCAAGUCGAACGGGACCAGGGGCAACUCUGGUUCAGUGGCGGACGGGUGCGUAACACGUGAGGAACAUGACCUUCGGCGGGGGAUAGCCGGCCCAACGGCCGGGUAAUACCGCGUACGACCACAUGGGGACAUCCCUGAGUGGUGAAAGCAGCAAUGCGCCGAUGGAGUGCCUCGCGGCCUAUCAGCUAGUUGGUGAGGUAACGCUCACCAAGGCGACGACGGGUAGCUGGUCUGAGAGGAUGGCCAGCCACAUUGGGACUGAGACCACGGCCCAGACUCCUACGGGAGCAGCAGGUGGGAAUAGUUGACGCGAAGUGGAACGAAAGUCUAGACGCAGCGACGCCGCGUGGUCGGGAUGGACGGUCUUCGG